UCAGGACGAACGCUGGCGGCGUGCUUAACACAUGCAAGUCGAACGAUGAAGCCCUUCGGGGUGGAUUAGUGGCGAACGGGUGAGUAACACGUGGGCAAUCUGCCCUUCACUCUGGGACAAGCCCUGGAAACGGGGUCUAAUACCGGAUAACACUCCCUCUCUCAUGGGUGGGGGUUAAAAGCUCCGGCGGUGAAGGAUGAGCCCGCGGCCUAUCAGCUUGUUGGUGAGGUAAUGGCUCACCAAGGCGACGACGGGUAGCCGGCCUGAGAGGGCGACCGGCCACACUGGGACUGAGACACGGCCCAGACUCCUACGGGAGGCAGCAGUGGGGAAUAUUGCACAAUGGGCGAAAGCCUGAUGCAGCGACGCCGCGUGAGGGAUGACGGCCUUCGGGUUGUAAACCUCUUUCAGCAGGGAAGAAGCGAAAGUGACGGUACCUGCAGAAGAAGCGCCGGCUAACUACGUGCCAGCAGCCGCGGUAAUACGUAGGGCGCAAGCGUUGUCCGGAAUUAUUGGGCGUAAAGAGCUCGUAGGCGGCUUGUCACGUCGGGUGUGAAAGCCCGGGGCUUAACCCCGGGUCUGCAUUCGAUACGGGCUAGCUAGAGUGUGGUAGGGGAGAUCGGAAUUCCUGGUGUAGCGGUGAAAUGCGCAGAUAUCAGGAGGAACACCGGUGGCGAAGGCGGAUCUCUGGGCCAUUACUGAC
rnacentral:rRNA from 1 species